UGUGGUGGGGUAAAUUGCACUCUAUCGUGGUGCUGGUUGCAGUGGCACAGGCGUCUCGUCCCGCACUUCGCUGGGGACACGAUGUGCACAGGGGCCAUCUGACUCACC